CAUAGCGCACACAAACACCGCGUCCAGUAACACGUAUGGCGGUUUUGCUACAAACAACACUAACACAACACACACACACACACUCACACACAACACCAUCGGUUGUGCCGCUUUGUUUGGCUGUUGGAUUUUUGUGGUGUAGUUUUCUUUUUGUCUCGUUCUGUGUCGGCUGGUAUCCCAAAAUUGAGCAUGGCGGGAGCAACUUUACCCUCACACGGGAGGCCCGGUGAGGGUUUUGUGCCGAUGGCUACAACGAAAAAGCCAUUUCCUGAGGAAUUUAUAUUUUUAAGAAAAACCUGCCCAAGAAUGUUUUCGCAUACUUUUUGCUUGUAGCAAGAUCGUACCAGCGGUUUCAUAAGCCGAACGGUGAGCAGAAAUGUAUGUUGCGGUAUUGCCUGUACAGGAAGCUUCUGGGCGCUGUCGAACGAGCCGGAGUAUGAGACGGCUCGCAAAUGGAUAACAUCAGUGCUGUACGUGCUGCCCUAAGAAAAACAUGGCGAAUUGUUUACACAUCUGAAAGACGGUGAAGGUCACGCUUCAACUCGGCGGUAAAUUAAAGUAUUUCGCACAUUUAAGAGUACUUCCCAGAACAAAAGCACUCGUUGCAGUCGUCAAAUUCAUAAUACCACUCGCAGCCGCUCUCGGAAUGAAGUCAUGCAACGUAAUCAGCAGCACCAGUUUGUAAGAUACGAGCAAACCAGCCUGUACCUUUCCAUCUACUGUACCUUUCUAUCCAAACACUUCAUGUGUAAAGGCAUCAUCGUUUCAGUUUACCCGCUCACCCGACUCGUUUGCUGCGAACGCCGUCAGCGUACCGAAUCACACCUGCGCAGCAUGACAUCGAGCGGGGCACCUUGAAGCAAAGAAUAAUCU